AGAGAUGUGUGAUGACGCAUAUCAAUAAGCGGAGGAAAAGAAACUGACGAGGAUUCCCUCAGUAACGGCGAGUGAAGCGGGAAGAGCUCAAAUUUGAAAUCUUCAAGGUUCUACCUUGACGAAUUGUAGUUUAUAGAAGUGUUUUCUGUUAGUAGAGUUUGGUAAAAGUUCUUUGGAAUAGGACAUCAUAGAGGGUGAGAAUCCCGUAUUUGGACCAUUAUUUCCUAGCUUUGUGAUACACUUUCAAAGAGUCGGAUUGUUUGGGAAUGCAGUCCAAAAUGGGUGGUAAAUUUCAUCUAAAGCUAAAUACUGGCGAGAGACCGAUAGCGAACAAGUACCGUGAGGGAAAGAUGAAAAGAACUUUGAAAAGAGAGUUAAACAGUACGUGAAAUUGUCAAAAGGGAAGCGUUUGACACCAGUGUUGUUUUUUCGAAAAUCAAUUAAAAAUGGUGGAUUCUGUGUUGUAUUGACUUUAUCAGGCUUUCUGCACUCUUUUCCUAUCUUUUUUAAUGCACUUUUCGUUUAACAAGUCAACAUCAAUUUCUUUUGUUGUAAAAGAGGUCAUUGGAAGGUGGCUUUCUUUUCGGAGAAAGUGUUUAUAGCCUUUGGCUUCUGCAGUCGGAGAGAUUGAGGUCUGCAGCGUAGAUCCUUCGGGGUUAGACUACAUUUGUGCUAAGUUAUAGCCUUUCAUAGACAACUUGUUGACUAUGAUCAGUCAUGUAGCUUACUCGCUUAUGUCAUUUUACCUACGCUUAGGAUGUUGAAGAUGUAGCACAUCAU
rnacentral:rRNA from 1 species